UCUUUCAAACUUAAUAUUUCAACACUGGUGAAAAGUCAAAAUGGAACUCAGACAAGUGUCACACAUCUUGCUAUAGCAACAGACCAAUGCAUUGGAUGAUAACUGGUACAUCGUCAAGGGACAGAAGUGUCAACAGGUAAGUUCCAAUGUAAUUGCAGGAAAGAUAGAUGUUUGUCCAAUGUAAUUGCAGGAAAGAUAGAUUUAAGACUCAUGGAUUUGUGAUGUGAUUGGACUAUAAGAGGAAUCUAUUUGACAUUCCACAUUGCAAAU
rnacentral:lncRNA from 1 species